UCUCUUAUAUCUACUUUUCUUAUUAAAUUCACUUUAUUAUCAAAUUGUCAAGCAACUUUCUUAGCCUACUCUAAACCCAAUCUCUCGGCGAAAAGAGUCUGUCACUAAUUACUAGUUUACCAUCUCUAGUCUCCCUAAGUAAUUAGCAAUGCAAUAUAUCACAGAAGAAAAUACAAUUGACCGUCCUACCCCUAUCUCUAGGCAGUAUUGCUUAAUCAAAGGAAUUCCUAUCAGUUCAUGACUUCCCCGUACGUCUCCGUAUCGACAAAGGCAAAUAUCUUCUUAUCGAAUGAGUUAAACGACAAGAACAUUAAUCAUAGAUAAGAAACCCCAACAAUUGAUAAUACAAGCAUAUGAAUAAAAUGAGAAUUUCAAUAUAAGAGAGUUUCAAAAGAAUUACAUUGUUCCCAAACAACAAAGGAUUUAGUUCACCAUGGACAUGAUGAAACUAGAUGAAAUUAAUGGAAACAAUGAAAGAGUAAACCCUAGAUUUGAUAAAUUGGAGCCUAAGCAUCCAAGAAACCGCCUCCAAGGAGUGUAGAAGUGCUCUGCACGUCUUUGCUUGCCAAAAGAUUACUCUAAAGGUCGCACCGGGGCUAUUUAUAACGCAUAAAAGUAACAGAAUUUAAGCCUAAACCCAACAUUCCAACGCUCAGCGGUUUGCCUCCAAGUCGCUGACCGCUCAGCGGUCCAUUCUGUCGCUCAAUGGUUUGCCUCCAAAUCGUUGGACGCUCAGCGACGCUGCUCAAGUGAGAAAUAGUAGGCUCUCCUUCGAAACUGGCGCUCAGCGUUGGAAAUAGCGCUGAGCGGUGAACUUGACUCUUCUUUUCUUCCUUUUUUCCUCUUUUCUUGAGUCUAAGUCCCCCCUUCUUCACUUCCAUCCUCAAAUCUCAUCAAAUCCUACAAAACAAUGCAAAAAUAAGCAUAAUAUCUCUAAAAACAACUUUUGACUCUCUUUUGACUAAACUAAGUGUUUUGCUUGAUUCAAUUCUCAUUCUAAGCCAUAAAGGGUGUGUUUUGAUAUCAAUUUUAAGUGUAAAAAUAACGAUUUUUAGAUUGUUAUUAGCAGGGCCGGUGGUGGUGGUGAAAAGGUUGAAGGAUGUGAUGUCUGAAAAUGAGUUUAAGGAGAAGAUUGAGAGAGAUGAAGGGAGAAAGAGGGAAAAAAGCUGAGAAAAGUUGAUUCCUGUCAGAAAAAAGAAAAUGACGUGGUAGCACCGUUAGCCACUUCAGCGAAUUUUUAAUGUCGUUGGUUUUGAAGGACCAAAAAUUAUAGUUUCUUUAAGAAGAAUGAUCAAAGUGUACCAAAGUUUGAAAAGGGGACUAAAAACAAAUUCGCGUGAUAGUUUAAGGACUAAAAACAUAUAUAACCUGAGUUCCUACUAAGGAUGGGAACGAGUCGGGUCGGGUAUGGAUACUGUCUAUCCAUAACCCGACCUAACAAAAAACAAUUCUCCCGCUACCUGAUCCGCUAUCUGCACGAAUAUCCGCUUAAAAAAUAUAUUUUUAUAAAUUAUUAAAAUAAAAUUUAAAUAAAAUUACAAAAAAUAUAUAAAAUAUAAUAUAAAUUAAAUUAAAU
rnacentral:lncRNA from 1 species